UUAGAAGUCUGAGGAAUAACCAGCCAACUCUUGUAGAACAAUACUCCAUGCUCAACUGAGAACCCCACGUGAGAUUGUGUACCCGAAGUUAUGUCUUCCCUUAGUUUCUUCAGAAAGGUAUCCUCUGCCAACUCAACCUUUAAGGAAUCCCAAUGUUGCCACUGAGGAAUCACCAAAGCUGAACACUCUGCUGGUUCUGUUAAGCGGGAGAGUGCAUCCGCUACUCGAUUACUUGCCCCACUACGAUAUUGAAUAUCAAAAUCAUAUCCCAUGAUUUUGGUGAUCCAUUUUUGAUAUUCAACUCCAACAAUCCUCUGCUCCAAAAGGAAUUUUAAGCUCUGUUGGUCUGUUCGCACAAUGAAUCGCCUUCUCAGUAAGUACGGCUGCCAUUUCAGGAUUGCAAACACUAUGGCCAUUAGUUCUUUCUCAUAUAUGGACUUAAGGCGAGCCCGGGGCCCCAAAACUUGGCUGUAGUAAGCUACUGGUUGUUGCCCCUGUAGUAGAACAGCCCUUAACCCAAAACCAGAUGCAUCAGUCUCAACAAUAAAUGGCUUUGUGAAAUCAGGCAAGUACGGCCGCCAUU
rnacentral:lncRNA from 1 species